ACGCACGCUGGCGGCGUGCUUAACACAUGCAAGUCGAACGGAAAGGCCCUGCUUUUGUGGGGUGCUCGAGUGGCGAACGGGUGAGUAACACGUGAGUAACCUGCCCUUGACUUUGGGAUAACUUCAGGAAACUGGGGCUAAUACCGGAUAGGAGCUCCUGCUGCAUGGUGGGGGUUGGAAAGUUUCGGCGGUUGGGGAUGGACUCGCGGCUUAUCAGCUUGUUGGCGGGGUAGUGGCUUACCAAGGCUUUGACGGGUAGCCGGCCUGAGAGGGUGACCGGCCACAUUGGGACUGAGAUACGGCCCAGACUCCUACGGGAGGCAGCAGUGGGGAAUAUUGCACAAUGGGCGGAAGCCUGAUGCAGCAACGCCGCGUGCGGGAUGACGGCCUUCGGGUUGUAAACCGCUUUCGCCUGUGACGAAGCGUGAGUGACGGUAAUGGGUAAAGAAGCACCGGCUAACUACGUG
rnacentral:rRNA from 1 species